rnacentral:lncRNA from 1 species
CAUAAGUCUAGGGAGGUUUAGGGGAAUCCCUAGCAAGAUGUGGUGCAUGAUGGCUAAAUCUCGCUCCGAAACGAAAUCGAAGCGACCGGUUUUUGGAAACAAGACCCGGUUAACAAUGCUCAAAAGCAAUCUCAUCUCAACAUUGAGGUCUUGGGAGUUAACUACGUCAAGAGGGCCGCAGUCCUCUCUUCCUAGAAGUAGGUUUAGGGCAAUCUCCCUUUGGGGAUGUGAGGUCGGAGCCUCACCGUAUUUAGGGAUUUGCAAUACGCUAGAUAGAAUAUCCUCAUUGAUUUCUAUCAAUGUCCCUCGGACAUG